rnacentral:rRNA from 1 species
GUGUCAGCAGCCGCGGUAAUACGUAGGGGGCGAGCGUUGUCCGAAGUUACUGGGCGUAAAGCGCGCGUAGGCGGCUAUUUAAGUCUGAGGUGAAAGGUUCAGCGCUCAACGUGAACAGUGCCUUGGAUACUGGAUGGCUUGAAUGUGGCAGAGGAGCAUGGAAUUCCUGGUGUAGCGGUGAAAUGCGUAGAGAUCAGGAGGAAUACCGAUGGCGAAGGCAGUGCUCUGGGCUAACAUUGACGCUGAGGUGCGAAAGCUAGGGUAGCGAACGGGAUUAGAUACCCCGGUAGUCC